UCGCCAGAGAGACACGCCGCCGCCGCCGCCGUCUUCCUCCCCUUUCCCACGACCACAGAGUGCUGCAUCUAUUCACCAGCCCCCCUCCUCUUUGUGGCUGUUUGUGCCCAGCUCGCAAAAGGGACCCAUGCACCGUUUUCGGGACUUGAGAGCGGUGCCGCAAGAGCAAUAAAACCCCAAGAUGAAGUCGAAGCAGGCGCCUCGCGCCUCUGCCAAGCAGACACCAUCGGUUUCCAAGAAGAAGGACCACACGACCAACAAGGUAAUCGCCAUGUCCACCGCCUCCCCCUCCACCUCCGACUUGGACGAAGUAGCAUCUCUGUUCAACACCAUCAAGCAAACCAAAGCGCAGAAGUACGGCAGUGCCGCUGCCGCUCAGCCACCAUCCCUGCAGAGGGGGGCUGGAGGAGCGUCGGUGGAGGCGCAUAAUAUUAAGCGCUCGUCAACUGGCGCUGGAGCGCCUCCUCCGUCGUCCUCGCCAGGGGCUCAGGCGAAACCCGUUCACGAUGGACUCUACCACGCACCAGAGAAGUCGGUGCAGAUGAGUGACAACCAGUUCUUCAGCGGCACUUGGCUGAGGGAGGAUCGCACAGUCGCGCCCACUGCCACCACCUCCUCUGCUGUCCCAAGCACGGCAUCUCCCGAGGCGUCCGAGAAGCUGCUGCGCAGGGAGGGCGUGCAUCGCAUUGUGUCCAUACAGGAGCUUUCCAAGAUGUUAUCGCAUAACGCCAGGGCGGGCACCACUCCCAACUGCCCGUUCGACUGCGACUGCUGCUUCUGAUCGGCCAGCCGGAAGGCUUGGGUGCGAGUGUGUGUGUGAGAGGCUGCAUAGCUGAAGGGAAAGAAAUAACGCGCGUUGUGGCUGCGCGCAAGUAUGUUUCGCUUGGACCUCUCCGCAGCUACAGAGACAAGCGUGCAUCACGCGCCGCGCGUCUGGUGCGCUGAUCAAUCAGGGUAAAGACGUUCACUUCAGCGACAUCAGCGAAGGAAAAAAA
rnacentral:misc_RNA from 1 species